CCCAGACCGGCCCGAGAACGGGAAGUGAAAACGCAAAGGCGGGGGGCCGAGCACGAAAACUCGAAAUAGCCCGCGACCUCUCUCUCUGUGUCUCCGCCGCCGCCGCCUCCGCCGCUCGCCGCAUCCGUCGGAGGCGAGAUGGGCAUCAAGGGUUUGACGAAGCUUUUGGCGGACAAUGCGCCCAAGGCGAUGAAGGAGCAGAAGUUCGAGAGCUACUUCGGCCGGCGCAUUGCCGUCGACGCCAGCAUGAGCAUCUACCAGUUCCUCAUUGUAGUUGGAAGGACGGGGAUGGAAACCCUCACGAACGAGGCCGGUGAAGUCACCAGUCAUUUGCAAGGUAUGUUCAACCGGACAAUAAGGUUGCUGGAGGCAGGAAUCAAGCCAGUAUAUGUUUUUGACGGCAAGCCUCCUGAUCUGAAGAAACAAGAGCUCGCAAAAAGGUACUCGAAGAGGGAGGAUGCCACCAAAGAACUAACAGAGGCAGUAGAGGAAGGAGAUAAAGACGCAAUUGAAAAAUUCAGCAAGAGAACUGUGAAGGUCACGAAGCAGCACAAUGAAGAAUGUAAACGACUAUUAAGACUUAUGGGGGUUCCUGUUGUAGAGGCGCCAUGUGAAGCAGAAGCAGAAUGUGCUGCACUUUGCAUAAAUGAUAUGGUUUAUGCAGUUGCAUCAGAAGAUAUGGACUCUCUUACUUUUGGAGCUCCACGGUUUCUUCGUCAUUUGAUGGAUCCAAGUUCCAAGAAAAUUCCAGUUAUGGAAUUUGAAGUCGCGAAAGUUUUGGAGGAGCUUGAACUCACUAUGGACCAAUUCAUUGACUUGUGCAUCCUAUCUGGAUGUGACUAUUGUGAUAGCAUUAAAGGUAUUGGAGGUCAAACAGCUCUGAAACUUAUUCGUCAACAUGGGUCCAUAGAAAGCAUUCUGGAAAACAUAAAUAAAGACAGAUAUCAGAUUCCUGAGGACUGGCCUUAUCAAGAAGCUCGACGCUUGUUCAAGGAACCCAAUGUUACAUUGGAUAUUCCUGAGCUGAAAUGGAAUGCUCCCGAUGAGGAAGGUCUUGUAGAGUUUCUGGUGAAAGAAAAUGGUUUCAACCAAGAUAGAGUGACAAAGGCCAUAGAGAAGAUUAAAUUUGCCAAGAACAAAUCUUCCCAAGGAAGGUGAGACGUGAGCAUUGUGGCUCGAAUCCUUCUUCAAGCCAGUUGUUAGCACAUCAGUGCCUCUGAAAAGAAAGGACACUUCAGAAAAACCAACCAAAGCAGUCGCUAACAAGAAAACAAAGGGAGCCGGCGGAAAGAAGAAAUAAGUUCGAUUGUGCCAUUCAUCAACAAGACCUCCUGCACGUGUCAUUUCAAUUUUAACUCCCAUGUUUGUAACUCAUCCUCCAUCUGAUGUUUUCUAUGUUCCUAGUAAACCAGAAGUCCAGAACUUCGUCUAAUACUAGUUCAUCUAUGUAGUACGUCUCUCUUCUCUACUAGGGAUUUGUAGUGUUGGUUUGGUUGCUGCGUAGUGUAUGAAGAACCAACAAAAUUGGCUUUGCCGCGCAAAAUUAACUGGUUCCGAUUCGCAAAA